GUGUCCCCGCCUCUGUGAGCCCGGUCCCUCCCACUCGGUCUCAGGCUGCCUUCCACACAGCUCCAACCGUCAGACUGCCCUGCACCCGCUCUGCACAGCCUCCCCACAUGCUCGCUGCCAGCCUGGACCAGAACUGCUUCUAGGAGGACGCUGCACCCCGGUUUCUGACCCCACAGAAGUUCCUAGCUCCAAAUCUUCAGAUGUGAGCACACAACCUGGAGUGACUGCAGUGACCAGAAAAAUAAGAACAGACCACUAUCGAAUGUGGUGUUCCUGAGAGAAUCAUUGAAGGAUGCUGUGAUGCUGUGUGAUCUGUGGGUUGGUAGAUAAGCAGUUGGACGCAGUCAUUUCUCAUGGACUUUCCCAACCAGUUGGAUCUUGAAAAACCUUGUGUGUCCCUGAAAUUUCUCACAAAAUACAGUGGUUGAAAUUGAGCUGAACAUCAUGGCCAGCUCCUGGGAAGAAGACAUUCUUGAAAAGGAUUUCAGGAUCUUAUCAUCUCUAAGUUGUGGUGCAUUCGGGGAAGUGAUGCUUACCUGCCACAUGUACAGGCGGCAAUCAAGGUCCUUGAGAAAAAUCACAAUGCUCUGGCUCACAUCAGCUCUGAAGUAAACAUCCUUCAAUAUUUGGAACAUGUAA